GAUGAACGCUGGCGGCGUGCCUAAUACAUGCAAGUCGAGCGAACAGACGAGGAGCUUGCUCCUCUGACGUUAGCGGCGGACGGGUGAGUAACACGUGGAUAACCUACCUAUAAGACUGGGAUAACUUCGGGAAACCGGAGCUAAUACCGGAUAAUAUAUUGAACCGCAUGGUUCAAUAGUGAAAGACGGUUUUGCUGUCACUUAUAGAUGGAUCCGCGCCGCAUUAGCUAGUUGGUAAGGUAACGGCUUACCAAGGCAACGAUGCGUAGCCGACCUGAGAGGGUGAUCGGCCACACUGGAACUGAGACACGGUCCAGACUCCUACGGGAGGCAGAAGUAGGGAAUCUUCCGCAAUGGGCGAAAGCUUGACGGAGCAGCGCAGCGUGAGUGAUGAAGGUCUUCGGAUCGUAAAACUCUGUUAUUAGGGAAGAACAAAUGUGUAAGUAACUAUGCACGUCUUGACGGUACCUAAUCAGAAAGCCACGGCUAACUACGUG
rnacentral:rRNA from 1 species